ACCAUACACAUGAUGUGUUUCAUGAUGGCGUCGUGGAUUCGGCAUGUUUGACGGCGGUUCGUGGAUUCGGAUCGUGGGUUCGUGGAUUCGAGUGGCGUUCGUGGAUUCAGACGUCUGCGAGGCGUUCGUGGAUUCGAACGUGAGGGCGUGGACAACCCGGAGGAUUGCGCGAGAUUCAUAGGAGGUUAAGAGAGGUUGAGUCUGUGGAGUCGGUAAUCACCUUAUAAUCUUUUCUCUUAGUGAAUUAUUUUUUUCGCGUGUUGGUCCUGUUGGUUUUUCUCCAAGUUAGAGUUUUCCUACGUAAAUCUCGGUGUGAUUUUUAUUUUUCGCAUUUAUUUUU
rnacentral:lncRNA from 1 species